AGUUUUUACACGAACUCUAACUGGACUCAUACAGAGAAUAUUAGCAUGGCCUCUGCACAAGGACGAAAUGAAAACUUGGGAGGCCAGGGAGUGGUAC
ensembl:snRNA U6 U6 spliceosomal RNA